ACUAGUUAUCAUACUGGACCGAAAGCCCCCGAUCCCGUCCAAUCUUGGAAGGUAAACCAUUCCAGACCUGGCUAGUAUUUGGAUGGAUGACUGCCUGGGAAUCCCAAGUGCGGUAGUA
rnacentral:rRNA from 1 species